rnacentral:snoRNA from 1 species
AUUCCACUAUGUUGACACUUUCUAACGAUCUCCUUAAACAUCUCCCAUGCUUCAAACAUGCUUUUAGUCUCUUCUAGGCAAAAGUUAUGGAUUUCACUUCUAAACUU